UACGUAGGUGGCUAGCGUUGUCCGGAUUUACUGGGCGUAAAGAGCGCGCAGGCGGUCGUUCAAGUCGAGUGUGAAAGCCCCCGGCUCAACUGGGGAGGGUCACUCGAUACUGAUCGACUCGAAGGCAGGAGAGGGAAGCGGAAUUCCCGGUGUAGUGGUGAAAUGCGUAGAUAUCGGGAGGAACACCAGUGGCGAAGGCGGCUUGCUGGGCCUUACCUGACGCUGAGGAGCGAAAGCGUGGGGAGCGAACAGG
rnacentral:rRNA from 1 species